rnacentral:tRNA from 1 species
ACCUAAAUAGCUUAUUUUUAGAGCAUGACAUUGAAGAUGUUAAGGUAAUUUUUUAUUUUUAGGUA